UUGAAACACAGAUUCUCAUCUGAUCACCAAAGUUAAGCAACAUUGAAGCUGGUCAGUACCUAGAUGAGUGAUCAUUUGGGAAUACCAAGUGUU